GGGAAAUUAUCGUUUUGCGCAACCCCUUUCUGUCAAGGCCGCUCAACCGCGGGCCAGGUGCAGAGAACCACACAAACUGAGUGGCACUAGCGGCCAAGGCAAAUUACAUUACCAUUUGUUCGCGGAAGUGGCUUUUUUGUGUUGGUAGAAAGGGGGUGGUGGGGGAGGAAAGGAAGAGAAACUAAAGAAGAAAAGUUUCAGCCCUCUUUCUAAAGAAAUUCAUAUGCACACUGUACGACAGCUGGCGUUUGAACCUUCGCAUUCAGCCACUUGUGUAAUUUAGUUAGAGGUAGGCCUACCGGACAACAACAGCUGGGAGAAAACAAGAGGCACAAAAGGGACAAGGAGGAAGAUUGCUGGUUACCAAACAGGAAUAAGGGGGAGGAGCCUUUUAGAGGGGAAACAGCCCAUGUGGGCUCUACUAUCUCCAUCCCUCUCUCCUUCCCCUCCUCCAUCCAUUCCGUUGUCCUUCCCAUAGUGUGUGUGUGAGAGAGAGAAAGGGAGAGAGCAAUGCUCAGUGCACACGCAUGCAUAUACUGUUAAAUGAUUUAGACUGCAAAGUGGGAGAGGGGAAAAGGGGA
ensembl:lncRNA